rnacentral:ncRNA from 1 species
UGUAGGUUUUUGCGUCAAAGAGCAAAAUUAAAAGGGAAUCACGUGCAAUCCGUGAGCUGUCGCGCAACUGUAACAAGAUGCCUGAAGAAAGGCAAAAAGCCAUUGGACCCGCAAGGUUUGAGAAGGUGCCUUUCCUAGUCUUUAAGCCAGGAUACCUGCCUAGAUGUU